UACGUAGGUGGCAAGCGUUGUCCGGAAUUACUGGGCGUAAAGCGCACGUAGGCGGUCUUUUAAGUCGGGGGUGAAAUCCUGGAGCUCAACUCCAGAACUGCCUUCGAUACUGGAAGACUUGAGUCCGGGAGAGGUGAGUGGAACUGCGAGUGUAGAGGUGAAAUUCGUAGAUAUUCGCAAGAACACCAGUGGCGAAGGCGGCGCACUGGCCCGGUACUGACGCUGAGGUGCGAAAGCGUGGGGAGCAAACAGG
rnacentral:rRNA from 1 species